CGCGUAGGCGGCUUGGUCAGUCCCGUGUGAAAUCCCUCGGCUCAACUGAGGAACUGCACGGGAAACUGCCUGGCUUGAGUUCGGGAGAGGGAAGCGGAAUUCCGGGUGUAGCGGUGAAAUGCGUAGAUAUCCGGAGGAACACCGGUGGCGAAGGCGGCUUCCUGGACCGACACUGACGCUGAGGCGCGAAAGCUAGGGGAGCAAAC
rnacentral:rRNA from 1 species